GCAUCUCAAUGGCCAAAGAAAACCCAUGAAUUCUUUUUGCACCCUCCAAUCCUUCAAAGGGCUCCUGGGAGGCCAAAAGUAGAGAGGCACAAGAGUGGUGCUGAGCAUAGCAAGAGCAAGAGAAGAAAAGGACAGCAUUAGUGCCCAAUUUGCAAAGACUAUGGUCAUAGAUGGCAAGGUUGCAAAAAUGCUGUUCCAGAUGCAAAAGAAGCGUAUGCUGAUGUGGCAAAAGAAAGAAGGAAAAAAAGAAAUAAAUACAAAGUUGCAGCAAGGAGUGGUGACGCUAAUAUUGAAGCAAUCGAAGGUACCCAACCAACGCUGCCCCUUCCAUGUUCAACUACCAACCCAAGUGAAGUAGAUGUGGUGAAGUCAACAUCAUCUAAAUCUGUGAGGUCCAAAACCGGUUCGAACCAAAUUGAGAGCACCUCAAUGGAAAUUGCGUCAACACCAAAGCGGCGCAAGGGCAAGUCGAAGGCAAAGGUGAUCCCAGCUGCAGCGGACAGCCCCGCAAUGGCCACUCGGAGCAAGAAAAGGCAACCAAACAGCCCUGCGAUGGCCACUCGUAGCAAGAAAAAACUAAAAGUCUGAACUUGUUUCUUUCUAUGACAUUUGUGGACUUAUUUUCUUGCACUGGACAUUGGUCUCUUUUGUGCAUUUCAAUUUCUUGUACUGGACAUUGGUCUCUUUUGUGCACUUUAGUUUCUUGUACUGGACUAUGAGUACCAUGUCUAUUUCUCCUGUUUACUAUCCUCAUUAUGUGUUAUGAUGCAAAUAUAUUAUUGUCAUGCUUAUAACUGUUUGAUCCUGAAA